GAGCCCCAAAAAACGGUAGAAAUGAAAUUCAGCUCUUCACGAAAAAAUAUUAUUUGAUGGAAAAGCUGUAAAAAUUGGUAUUCCUUGCAGUUUUUUUCAAGAUUUUAGAAUUUUUGAGCUUAUUUCAACCGUUGAUUACUGACUAAGAAACAUUUCAAGGAGUAAUUUUAUGAUCACUUUUUAGUCCGUUAUAACAAAUUUACGAAUCAAUCCAUCCUACCACAUGAGUACGUUCCUUCCAACCAUACUAAGAAUGAUUCUGUUGCAAUUUAUAUUUUACAGCUCAAAUUCUGCGCAAAAUCCAACCCGGCGAAGCUCUUCCUAUAGUCCUUUUUUUCAAUCCAUCAACCUCCGAACUUCAAAUCCCCAAAAGCUUGAACGAAAUCAAAGCGCUGCACGGAAGAAUAGUAGAAGGAACCAAAUUCAACUCUGGAUCGAGAACUGCGAACAAACAAAUGUUUUUCUGUCCAAAUAAAAAUUCAGAAGACAAAUGUUUGAUAGCCAAAAAAUUUAAAACAUCAGAACAAUUGCAAUGUGCUGAAGAACCGGUGCCGGUCAUCCAUAGGGUAGUGCACAUUAACCACGAACCACAAGAGUGUGGUCCUGGUAAAGAAAGAAAACAUGGGACUUUCCAUAGAUACCUUUACAAAAUUUGUGAGAAUCAAGAGAUUAAUGGAUGGUUACGAUAUUUGAAUUACGUGGGGAUUCCAAUUAAACCAAAAAAGAUUGAAACAAAACUAGUGGAAUUGUAUACUUUUUGUUACGAUCUAACCGAGAAGAAAAUGAUAUUCACUGCUCACGAAAUAAAGUCUCCCACAUUACUAGGUACAGAUCCCUUAUUUCGAGAGCACGAAAUAGAAUAUCCUAUGAUGAAUGACCAAGUCGUUCCUUCAAACCAAUCACAGUCACAAAAUGCACCACCUGGG